rnacentral:rRNA from 1 species
GAUGAACGCUGGCGGCGUGCUUAACACAUGCAAGUCGAACGGAGAGCUCAUGACAGAGGAUUCGUCCAAUGGAUUGAGUUUCUUAGUGGCGGACGGGUGAGUAACGCGUGAGGAACCUGCCUCGGAGUGGGGAAUAACAGUCCGAAAGGACUGCUAAUACCGCAUAAUGCAGUUGUGUCGCAUGACACUGACUGCCAAAGAUUUAUCGCUCUGAGAUGGCCUCGCGCCUGAUUAGCUAGUUGGCGGGUAACGCCACCAAGGCGACGAUCAGUAGCCGGACUGAGAGGUUGGCCGGCCACAUUGGGACUGAGACACGGGCCCAGACUCCUACGGGAGCAGCAGGUGGGGAAUAUUGGGCAAUGGGCGCAAGCCUGACCCCAGCAACGCCGCGUGAAGGAUGAAGGCUUUUCGGGUUGUAAACUUCUUUUAAUCAGGGACGAAUCCAGUGACGGGUACCUGAUGAAAUAAAGCCACGGCUAAAC